rnacentral:snRNA from 1 species
AAAAAAGGCUUAUGUUGUGAGUGGCACACACGGGGCAACUCGAUUGCUCUGCGUGCGGAAUCGACAUCAAGAGAUUUCGGAAGCAUAAUUUUUUUGGUAUUUGGGAAGCUGGUAAAAAAAAAAAAAAAAAAGAUUGAGGAGGACUUUUAGCAAUUGAGGGGUUGAGUAUCUGUCGUCUUUCUA